rnacentral:rRNA from 1 species
GAUGAACGCUGGCGGCGUGCCUAAUACAUGCAAGUCGAACGAACAGACGAGAGUGCUUGCACUCUCUGACGUUAGCGGCGGACGGGUUAGUAACACGUUGGUAACCUACCUAUAAGACUGGGAUAACUUCGGGAAACCGUAGCUAAUACCGGAUAAUAUUUAGCUUCGCAUGAAGCAAUAGUGAAAGACGGUUCUGCUGUCACUUAUAGAUGGACCCGCGGUGUAUUAGCUAGUUGGGGAGGUAACGGCUCACCAAGGCAACGAUACAUAGCCGACCUGAGAGGGUGAUCGGACACACUGGGACUGAGAAACGGCCCAGACUCCUACGGGAGGCAGCAGUAGGGAAUCUUACGCAAUGGACGAAAGUCUGACGGAGCAAUGCCGCGUGAGUGAAGAAGGUUUUCGGAUCGUAAAACUCUGUUGUAAGGGAAGAACAAGUACGUUAGUAACUGAACGUACAUUGACGGUACCUUAACAGAAAGCCACGGCUAACUACGUG